rnacentral:rRNA from 1 species
ACGCCUGUUCGAGUGUCGUGAAAUUCUCAAACUGGGAUGCUUUUUUGUUUCUCGGCUUGGUGUUGGGCUUUGCAGUUCCUUUGAUUGGGAUGGCUGGCCUCAAAAGCAUUAGCUGGCUUUUCAUGUGGCAUUGGUUCUACUCAGCGUGAUAAUAAUCUGACCGCCGAGGACAUCUUUCGAGAUGGCCAAUUCUCAUUUGGGCUGCUUCUAAUUUUGGUAGAGCGGAUUCUGAAUCUGUUCCACUUUUUCAACUUUUGACCUCGAAUCAGGUGGGACUACCCGCUGAACUUAAGCAUAUCAAUAAGCGGAGGAA